ACCCGCUGAACUUAAGCAUAUCAAUAAGCGGAGGAAAAGAAACCAACAGGGAUUGCCUUAGUAACGGCGAGUGAAGCGGCAAAAGCUCAAAUUUGAAAUCUGGCACCUUCGGUGUCCGAGUUGUAAUUUGAAGAAGGUAACUUUGGAGUCAGCUCUUGUCUAUGUUCCUUGGAACAGGACGUCACAGAGGGUGAGAAUCCCGUGCGAUGAGAUGUCUGAUUCUAUGUAAAGUGCUUUCGAAGAGUCGAGUUGUUUGGGAAUGCAGCUCUAAGUGGGUGGUAAAUUCCAUCUAAAGCUAAAUAUUGGCGAGAGACCGAUAGCGAACAAGUACAGUGAUGGAAAGAUGAAAAGAACUUUGAAAAGAGAGUGAAAAAGUACGUGAAAUUGUUGAAAGGGAAGGGUUUGAGAUCAGACUUGGUAUUUUGUAUGUCUUGCUUUCGGGUGGGGCCUCUACAGUUUACUGGGCCAGCAUCGGUUUGGACGGUAGGAUAAUGACAUUGGAAUGUGGCACCACUUCGGUGGUGUGUUAUAGACUUUGUUGAUACUGCCUGUCUAGACCGAGGACUGCGUCUUUGACUAGGAUGCUGGCAUAAUGAUCUUAAACCGCCCGUCUUGAAACACGGACCAAGGAGUCUAACGUCUAUGCGAGUGUUUGGGUGUAAAACCCGUACGCGUAAUGAAAGUGAACGUAGGUGAGAGCUCUUUUGAGUGCAUCAUCGACCGAUCCUGAUGUCUUCGGAUGGAUUUGAGUAAGAGCAUAGCUGUUGGGACCCGAAAGAUGGUGAACUAUGCCUGAAUAGGGUGAAGCCAGAGGAAACUCUGGUGGAGGCUCGUAGCGGUUCUGACGUGCAAAUCGAUCGUCGAAUUUGGGUAUAGGGGCGAAAGA
rnacentral:rRNA from 1 species